CUUUCCAUGAAAACAAUAGCCUGUGGUGAAACAGCUUGUCAUGGAUACUAAUGAAAAAUUGCCUGAGACAUCCUGAUGGGAUUCCUCCUGCAUUCAUUCUGCCCUUAAGGUCUGGGAAUUCAGUGAACACAAAAAGAUUUCAUUAUUGCUUCCCUGAUGUAACCAGGAGGAUUUAAAUAACCAAUGGGGGUGGAUACUCCUUUCUUUCUGACCUGAACCUUAUUGCAAAACACCAAGCGGAUAAAUGUAAAUUCUGAAGUUCCCUGGUUUUCUCCAGGACACACCCAGAAAGAUUCAUCACUCUGACAAAAGUUUAAAUGCUUAUAAUCCAUUUGUAAUGGAGCAUUUGGGAUGGAAUUAAUAUGGAGAACUACCCAUUUUGAGGGAAGACUUAUGGAAAAAUUAUCAGUUCAAUAUGGUAAGUCCAGGGAAAAAGAAAGGAAUGAAUUGGACUCAGCAUCCUGGUGUCAUUUGUUUCCAGUGUUCACUGAGCAUCAUUUUGCUACCUCUGAUCCACUCUACAUCAUAAGAGGUGAUCUUACCCCUUUGUCUCAUGGAUUUUUUUCCAUUGCAAAAAAAAGGCAUACAAGAGCUAAAUUUGGGCUCUUUUCCUCUGCUAUGAAUCUAAAAACAUUGUUCUUUUGAUAUAUAAUGUAGGUCUGUUACCAUGUCUAUUAAUUUAAUGUGAUAGAAGCAAAAGAAAAGGACCAGAAAGCUCUAAUUUCUGGCUUAAUAUUUGUAUUUAAGUACUCAAGGAUUAAAGUGAUA